AUGGUAUGUGGGUGUGUUGAUAACACCUCCUCUGACAGUACUGUUCUCCAGGUCUUGAAAGUUCUCCUCAAUGCUGUUGCUUCAAAUAGGUUUAGAGUACAUGGAGAACCAUUGCUUGGAGUGAUUAGGGUAUGCUAUAACAUUGCUCUCAACAGCAAGAGCCCUGUGAACCAGGCUACCUCAAAAGCCAUGUUAACACAGAUGAUCAGCAUUGUAUUCAGGAGGAUGGAGUCCGAGCAGGCUUCUGUACCACCUGCAAGUUCUGCAGUUAAAGAUGCACCUCCGUCUAGCACAAAGGAGGACUCAGAAAAUGGAGAAAUAUCCACUGACAAGCAGGAUGAGGAAAAAACAACUCUUGGAGAUGCGUUGUCCAUGAACCGGGCUUCAGAAGCAUCUCCAACAUCUGUUGAAGAGCUUCAGAAUCUUGCAGGCGGAGCGGAUAUUAAGGGGUUGGAGGCCGUUCUUGACAAGGCUGUUGAACUCGAGGAUGGAAAGAAAGUUUCAGGCGGAAUUGACCUGGAUACAAUGAACAUAAUUCAGCGGGAUGCACUAUUGCUUUUUAGGACUCUUUGCAAGAUGAGCAUGAAAGAAGAAAGUGAUGAGGUUGCUACCAAGACAAGGCUGCUGUCACUUGAACUGUUGCAGGGAUUGUUAGAAGGAGUCAGUGAUUUGUUUGCCAAAAAUUUCCACUUCAUUGAUUCAGUUAAAGCAUACCUUUCCUACGCUCUUCUCCGGGCAUCUGUGUCUUCAUCUCCAGUUGUUUUUCAGUAUGCUACCGGAAUAUUUUCAGUUCUGUUGCUUCGGUUUAGAGAGAGUCUCAAGGGAGAAAUUGGUGUUUUCUUUCCUUUGAUAGUCUUAAGGUCUCUAGAUAGCUCUGAUAGCUCCCUCAGUCAGAAGUCCAGUGUCCUUAGAAUGCUGGAAAAAGUCUGCAAAGACUCACAAAUGCUUGCGGAUAUGUUUGUAAAUUAUGAUUGUGACAUUGACGGGCCAAACCUUUUUGAACGCAUGGUUAGUGCUCUUUCAAGAAUUGCACAUGGAUCUCAAAGCACUGAUAGUGCUGCAGUUGCUUCAUCACAGACAGUUUCUGUAAAAGGGUCAUCUCUUCAGUGCUUGGUCAGUAUUUUGAAGUCAUUGGUUGAUUGGGAGCAAGCUCGAAGAGAUUCCUCAAAUCAUGGAAGCGUUGCCGAAUCUCAUGAUGAUGGUACUUCUGCAAGGAGCUUGGCAACUGAUGAGGCGAAGGUCCAAGAGGAUGGUCGCAAUCAGUUUGAGAGAGCUAAAGCUCACAAAUCAACAAUGGAGGCUGCAAUUUCAGAGUUCAAUCGCAAGCCAGCAAAGGGGGUCGAGUAUUUAUUGUCAAAUAAGUUGAUUGAAAAUAAUGCAUCAUCUGUAGCUCAGUUUCUCAAGAGCAAUGCCAGCUUGGAUAAGGUAAUGAUUGGUGAAUAUUUGGGACAGCAUGAGGAAUUCCCCCUUGCUGUGAUGCAUGCUUAUGUCGAUUCCAUGAAGUUUUCGGGGUUGAAGUUUGAUGCCGCAAUUCGCGAGUUCCUCAAAGGAUUUCGCCUUCCUGGGGAGGCACAAAAGAUUGAUCGCAUAAUGGAAAAAUUUGCUGAGCGGUACUGUGCUGAUAACCCUGGGCUCUUUAAAAAUGCAGAUACUGCUUAUAUUCUUGCUUAUGCUGUUAUAAUGUUAAAUACCGAUGCACAUAAUCCAAUGGUAUGGCCUAAGAUGUCAAAAUCAGAUUUCGUACGUUUGAACACUGUGAGUGAUGAAGAGGAAUGUGCUCCUAAGGAGCUCUUGGAGGAACUUUAUGACUCAAUUAUCAAUGAAGAGAUAAAGAUGAAAGAUGAUCUUGCGGCAAAAACCAGUAAAGUAAGACCUGAAAUAGAAGAAAAGGGUCGCCUCGUCAAUAUCCUCAAUUUAGCUCUCCCAAGACUGAAGUCAGCAAGUGAUACAAAGGCAGAAAGUGAAAAGAUUAUUAAGCAGACCCAAGCAGUUUUCAAAAACCAGGGACAGAAGAGGGGUGUUUUUCAUGUGGCUCAGCAGGUUGAGCUUGUUAGACCAAUGCUCGAGGCUGUAGGAUGGCCUUUGCUUGCAACAUUUUCUGUAACUAUGGAGGAAGGUGACAACAAGCCUAGGGUUGUAUUGUGCAUGGAAGGGUUUAAGGCUGGUAUCCAUCUUACUCGUGUUCUUGGGAUGGAGACCAUGCGCUAUGCUUUCUUGACAUCCUUAGUGAGGUUUACAUUUCUGCAUGCUCCCAAGGACAUGCGUAGUAAAAAUGUUGAGGCAUUGCGAACUCUCCUUGCCUUAGCUGACACGGAUAUGGAUGCUUUGCAAGAUGCUUGGAAUGCUGUUUUAGAAUGUGUCUCAAGACUCGAGUAUAUCACUUCAAGUCCUUCGAUGGCCGCAACUGUUAUGCAGGGAUCAAAUCAAAUAUCAAGGGAUUCUGUAGUUCAAUCACUGAAAGAGUUGUCGGGGAAGCCUGCUGAACAAGUGUUCGUAAACAGUGUAAAACUACCAAGUGAUUCUAUUGUUGAAUUCUUCAAUGGCCUAUGUGCUGUUUCUGCUGAAGAACUUAAACAGACACCUCCUCGUGUCGUCAGCUUGCAAAAGCUUGUUGAAAUAAGCUACUACAAUAUGGCACGGAUACGUUUGGUGUGGGCCAGAAUAUGGUCGGUGCUGGCUCAGCAUUUUAUUGCUGCUGGGAGCCACCAUGACGAGAAAGUUGCUAUGUAUGCCAUUGACUCACUGAGGCAGCUUGGCAUGAAGUACUUGGAGCGUGCGGAGCUGAACAAAUUCACAUUCCAGAAUGACAUACUGAAGCCUUUUGUUAUUUUAAUGAGGAAUAGUCGCAGCGAAAAGAUCCGUGGUCUAAUUGUCGACUGCAUUGUUCAACUGAUCAAGUCAAAAGUUGGUAGCAUAAAGUCAGGUUGGCGUUGUGUGUUCAUGAUAUUCACUGCAGCAGCUGAUGAUGAGAACGAAUAUAUUGUUGAAAGUGCUUUUGAAAACGUCGAACAAGUUAUCUUGGAACAUUUUGAUCAAGUUGUUGGUGAUUGCUUCAUGGAUUGUGUUAACUGUCUUAUUGGUUUCGCCAAUAACAAAUGCACUCCUCGGAUUAGUUUGAAGGCUAUUGCUCUCCUACGUAUAUGUGAAGAUCGUUUGGCAGAGGGGUUUAUUCCUGGUGGUUCUGUUAAGCCUGUUGAUGUUCUCCCAGAGGCCAAUUUUGAUGUGACGGAGCAUUACUGGUUUCCUAUGCUUGCUGGCUUGUCUGAUCUGACCUUAGACCCCAGACCAGAAGUUAGACAUUGUGCUCUUGAAGUUCUGUUUGAUCUGCUGAACGAGAGAGGACAUAAAUUUUCUUCUCCCUUUUGGGAGAGCAUUUUCCAUCGUGUACUCUUUCCUAUAUUUGAUCAUGUGAGACAUGCUGGAAGGGAUGGCCUUUCUUCUGGGGAUGAUUGGCUUCGUGAUACUAGCAUUCAUUCUUUGCAGUUAAUCUGCAACCUUUUCAAUACUUUCUAUAAGGAAGUGUCAUUUAUGCUUCCACCUCUAUUGGGCUUACUUCUAGAGUGUGCCAAGAAAACAGACCAAACUGUUGUCUCAAUUGCUCUAGGAGCUUUAGUUCAUCUAAUAGAGGUUGGUGGUCACCAAUUCAGCGAUGGUGAUUGGGAAACACUACUUAAGAGUAUUAGGGAUGCAUCAUACACAACACAACCCCUUGAACUCCUCAAUUCACUAGGAUUUCAAAAGACAAGCAAUCAACAAUUACUUUCAAGAGAAUCUGAGACCGACGCUAGUAGUUACCAUGAUAUCAGGGAAGGAGAAGCAUCAAUAAGUAAUAAUGGCGAACAGGAGGGUCAUCAGGAAACAAGUCCACGGAUUGGAUUGGAAAAUUCAGAUGGUUUGCCAUCACCAUCUGGGAGAGCACAACCUGCAGUCUCCCCAUCUAAUCAAACCUUUGGACAAAGAUUUAUGGGUAAUAUGAUGGGUAAUCUUUUGGUCAGAAGUCUUACAUCCAAAUCAAAGGGCAAAAUGGACGAUGCUGCUCCGCCCUCACCUGCAAAGACACCUGAAGCUGAUGGAGCUGACAAGACUGAAGAAGAAGAGAACCCUAUGAUGGAGACUGUUAGAAGUAAAUGCAUCACUCAGCUGCUGCUACUUGGGGCUAUUGACAGUAUACAGAAGAGGUAUUGGAGCAAACUGCAAGCCACACAACAGAUCGCAAUUAUGGAUAUCCUGCUGUCGCUCCUAGAAUUUGCUUCUUCAUAUAACUCACCAUCGAACCUUCGGACAAGGAUGCACCAUAUACCGCCUGAAAGGCCACCACUAAAUCUUCUUCGCCAGGAGCUAGCUGGAACUACUAUUUAUUUAGAGAUUCUACACAAAUCAACAGUGCACAAUGGUGCAAAUGGCUCAUCUGAGGAAACAAAUGGAUCUGGCGUGGAGUCUGAUCAACAAGAAAAGCUCAAGAGCCUGGCAGAAGGGAAGCUCGUUUCAUUUUGUGGGAAUAUUUUGAAAGAAGCGUCUGAUCUCCAGCCUAGCAAUGGGGAAACUGCUAGUGCGGACAUACACCGUGUACUUGAUCUACGUGCACCUGUUAUUAUCAAGGUUUUGAAUGGAAUGUGCAUCAUGGAUGCUCAGAUAUUCAAGAAGCACCUAAGAGAGUUCUAUCCAUUAAUUACCAAACUUAUCUGCUGUGAUCAGAUGGAUGUUCGUGGGGCCCUUGGCGAUCUUUUCAGCAAACAACUUACUCCACUCAUGCCCUGA
rnacentral:rRNA from 1 species